ACCUUGGUGAUCUCCAUGUCUACCAGGUCCCACCUUGGUGUCCCUCAAUCUUCUUCAGAUCCUCCAGGUCCCACCUUGGUGACCCCAAACCUUCUCCAGGUCCCACCUUGGUGACCCCAAACCUUCUCCAGGUCCCACCUUGGUGACCCCAAUGUCCACCAGGUCCCACCUUGGUGACCCCAGAUCUUCUCCAGGUCCCACCUUGGUGACCCCAAACCUCCAGCAGGUCCCACCUUGGUGACCUCCAUGUCUACCAGGUCCCACCUUGGUGUCCCCCAAGUCCCACCAGGUCCCACCUUGGUGUCCCCGAGUCUUCUCCAGGUCCCACCUUGGUGUCCCUCAAUCUUCUUCAGGUCCUCCAGGUCCCACCUUGGUGACCCCAGAUCUUCUCCAGGUCCCACCUUGGUGACCCCAAACCUUCUCCAGGUGCCACCUUGGUGUCCCCCAAGUCCCACCAGGUCCCACCUUGGUGACCCCAAACCUUCUCCAGGUCCCACCUUGGUGACCCCGAGUCUCCUCCAGGUCCCACCUUGGUGACCCCAGACCUUCUCCAGGUUCCACCUUGGUGACCCCAGAUCUCCAGGUCCCACCUUGGUGACCCCAGACCUUCUCCAGGUCCCACCUUGGUGACUCCAAACCUUCUCCAGGUCCCACCUUGGUGCUCCCACCACUUCCAGGUUCCACCUUGGUGACCCCGAACCUUCUCCAG